GCUGAACGCUGGCGGCGUGCCUAAUACAUGCAAGUCGAGCGAACAGACGAGGAGCUUGCUCCUCUGACGUUAGCGGCGGACGGGUGAGUAACACGUGGAUAACCUACCUAUAAGACUGGGAUAACUUCGGGAAACCGGCGCUAAUACCGGAUAAUAUAUUGAACCGCAUGGUUCAAUAGUGAAAGACGGUUUUGCUGUCACUUAUAGAUGGAUCCGCGCCGCAUUAGCUAGUUGGUAAGGUAACGGCUUACCAAGGCAACGAUGCGUAGCCGACCUGAGAGGGUGAUCGGCCACACUGGAACUGAGACACGGUCCAGACUCCUACGGGAGGCAGCAGUAGGGAAUCUUCCGCAAUGGGCGAAAGCCUGACGGAGCAACGCCGCGUGAGUGAUGAAGGUCUUCGGAUCGUAAAACUCUGUUAUUAGGGAAGAACAAAUGUGUAAGUAACUAUGCACGUCUUGACGGUACCUAAUCAGAAGGCCGCGGCUGACUACGUG
rnacentral:rRNA from 1 species